rnacentral:rRNA from 1 species
UACGGGGGGGGGCAAGCGUUGUUCGGAAUUACUGGGCGUAAAGCGUGCGCAGGCGGUUUGCUAAGACAGGUGUGAAAUCCCCGGGCUUAACCUGGGAACUGCGCUUGUUACUGGCAGGCUUGAGUGUGGCAGAGGGGGGUGGAAUUCCACGUGUAGCAGUGAAAUGCGUAGAGAUGUGGAGGAACACCGAUGGCGAAGGCAGCCCCCUGGGCUAACACUGACGCCUCAUGCACGAAAGCGUGGGGAGCAAACAGG